GUCCUUUGCUGCACUCAGCUUGUAAUCUUCUGUUCUUGCUGAAUUUUUGCCUGCCUGCUUUGACCUCCUGCUUGUUUUUUGGACUUUGCCUUUUGACUGCUCCUUUUUGUCUGUUUGCUUGGAUUACUUGCCUGAAUAUUACUAACCGCUGACGAUGGCCUUGUGCAUUGACUUUGCCUCCAGUUUUCCCUGUCUCUGUUUGCUGAGCUUGUAACAGAGAAUGGCUGCGUUCACCUGCUGUGCCUUCCAUCUGCGGUGAUUCAUGGAUGUUCCUUACUUUGAGCUUCAUGCGAGAUGCCAUUUAAAAGUAAGAUGUCUGAAAACUGCUGCAGUGUGACCUUCACCAUAAGUGCAUCAGGUAUUACCUGCUGGUGUUCUUAGUAGUACUUGGAUUAAGCUGGAUGACUCUGACAGUUUCACAUGAUGCUGGAUGUGUUGGUUUUUGGAAAGUCUUGUAGGACUUGUUGUUAUGGCGACGUGCCCAUAAUCUCAAACCCACUUGGGAGUAGAUUGUCCUCAGGCUUUUCAGUGUAAAUAAGAUAAUCUCUCUGAUUUAUAUGGGUCAGAACAGGAAGUGACCCACUGGCAUCUGAGUGAAUAUAAUAAGAAAAGAAAGGAAGCAGAGUACUGAGAGAUCGACUGGACCCUUUGGCCCGUUCUGACCCAUUCUUAAUGAACUAUGUUUCAGGUGGAAGGGAAUCAUUUAUUUUAGUGGAAUGUUAGCACCUCAUAUUAGGGGUCAAACAAAGAGGAGAUGUGCUCUUACCACCACACAGCCAGUGUGCAUUGCACAGAGAUUGCUCACAAAUGCCACUUUCUUGGUAAUGGGGAAAAUUUAGGAAAGCGCGCCGUUUGUCAAACUAAGCAAAGCGGCUCUGAAACAAUUCCUUUCAGUUUUCAUAGUCUGUUUUUAAAAUGCACAAGAAGAAGGCAAAAGGAAUUAAUGGAUUCAAAGCUUAUUAUUACAGAAUUUCUCAGUAGCUUUGGCUCAUUUCUAGGAUUCUCAACGCUUAAAAUACAUUUCUCAGAAUAGUUUAUGUAUACAUACAGCAACACUAGUUCAUCAGCAAAGAAUAUACAUUACCCGGAACCUUUGGCAAAUAAAUCCUUAUGUCACUGAAUAUGUUAACCCUGUCAAAAUGAAAUGUUCCAUUUGCAAUGUGUGGGUCAAGGUUCACAAUGUUGCAUGUGGAAUUAAUACUUGAGGGCUUUUAACUACAAGAACUAAUGUGCAUAUGAUGUAAACAGUGAAAUAAAUCCUUAAAUGUUGUGCAAAAAGACUUUUUAACAGAAAAGAAACAGAUCUACUUUGAUCAAAAGGACAUCUACAACUGAGAAAUGUUCAAAUUGUAGAUUUGCUGAAAUCUGUUAAAUAUUGUUUGUAGCAAAAUAUUGAGACAUGCUUUUAUGCUACACAAAAAAAUUGGAUGUUGUGAACAAAUAUUGCACUUGUUUUGAAAACUUUAUUUGAAUAUUGAGACCAAAGUAGGAAGAAAGCUAUAAUAGAAAUUAUGGCAGUAGGGCUAAGACUAAUGUGUUGUAGUAUUACCAGUCUGCAGAAUAUUCUUGCACUUUACUUUCACCUGUCCCAGGUUCUCAUGCUUGUACUCGCUCUGAAUAUAAUGUAGAGAUUAUACAAAGUAGCAGGGAUUCUAGUGCACACACAGAGGGUGUCUAGAGCAUCAUCUAAUCAUGAACAACUAUUAAUAUAUGAAGAUAAUCUUUGACAUCCCUCAUGUGCACUGGAAUCCCUUGUACUUUGUGGAUUUAUUGUGCGCUCCUGCUUGGCACCCUGUUGGAUGUAUGAGCAUAGAGCUAUGCAAAGGAUUACUGUUUACUGACU